rnacentral:misc_RNA from 1 species
GACAUGCGAUAAUUAAUGUGAAUUGCAGAAUUCAGUGAAUCAUCGAGUCUUUGAACGCACAUUGCGCCCCCUGGUAUUCCGGGGGGCAUGCCUGUCCGAGCGUCAUUGCUGCCCUCAAGCACGGCUUGUGUGUUGGGCUUCCGUCCCUGGCAACGGGGACGGGCCCAAAAGGCAGUGGCGGCACCAUGUCUGGUCCUCGAGCGUAUGGGGCUUUGUCACCCGCUCCCGUAGGUCCAGCUGGCAGCUAGCCUCGCAACCAAUCUUUUUAACCAGGUUGACCUCGGAUCAGGUAGGGAUACCCGCUGAACUUAAGC